GUUUCCACAGUAUACAGAAUGUGUGACAUAUAUGCUUCUAGUUUGGUUUGCACAUAUUUCCCUACUAAAAGAAAAGAAUAAUUGUUGGAGAAGUGUCUUAUAAUGAAAGUUUUAUUCUUAUUUAGGCAUGGUGAAGCCAAUAUGUCAGGAGACAACCAUCAUUUAAAAGAAUGAGUAACCCUGGGAGGGGUGUUCCUCCAGAGUCCACAGACCCCAAGAUGUCAAAGCAUCACAAUAAGAAGGUGCAUUUAAUAGAAGAAGGAUGAGCACAUGAGCUGGCACCUAUGGUGGUCAUAUGCCUUCGGAGCAUUGGAUAACAAGUCUUCAAGAAAGGAGGAGAAAAUGGACUUCAGCGAAUGGUAAAUAUGCGUGAACAAUA
rnacentral:lncRNA from 1 species